rnacentral:rRNA from 1 species
UACGUAGGGUGCAAUCGUUGUCCGGAAUUAUUGGGCGUAAAGAGCUCGUAGGCGGUUUGUUGCGUCGGCUGUGAAAUCCCGAGGCUCAACCUCGGGUCUGCAGUCGAUACGAGCAAACUAGAGUGUUGCAGGGGAGACUGGAAUUCCUGGUGUAGCGGUGAAAUGCGCAGAUAUCAGGAGGAACACCGGUGGCGAAGGCGGUGAUCUGGGCCGACACUGACGCUGUAGAGCGAAAGCGUGGGGAGCGAACAGG